CUCUUUUUCUGUUCUUCUCUAUUUAAUUCUCUAUUUGCUGCCUACUGCAUUUCUUAAUCUGUCUUCUGCCAAAUGCUAACAGCAUGAUAUUUUGCAAUCAUCUAGGUGAAUACAAGAAAGACGAACUCCUAGAAGCUGCUAGGAGUGGUAAUGAAGAAAAACUAAUGGCUUUACUGACUCCUCUAAAUGUGAAUUGCCAUGCAAGUGAUGGGCGAAAGUCGACUCCUUUACAUCUAGCAGCGGGCUACAACAGAGUUCGAAUAGUUCAGCUUCUUCUUCAGCAUGGUGCUGAUGUUCAUGCAAAAGAUAAAGGUGGACUUGUGCCUCUUCAUAAUGCAUGUUCAUAUGGACAUUAUGAAGUCACAGAACUGCUACUAAAGCAUGGAGCUUGUGUUAAUGCCAUGGAUCUCUGGCAGUUUACUCCACUGCACGAGGCUGCUUCCAAGAACCGUGUAGAAGUCUGCUCUUUGUUACUUAGCCAUGGCGCUGAUCCUACAUUAGUCAACUGCCAUGGCAAAAGUGCUGUGGAUAUGGCUCCAACUCCGGAGCUUAGGGAGAGAUUGACUUAUGAAUUUAAAGGUCAUUCUUUACUACAAGCAGCCA
rnacentral:sRNA from 1 species